GCGGGCGUAGCUCAGUUGGUAGAGCGUCACCUUGCCAAGGUGAAUGUCGAGAGUUCGAGUCUCUUCGCCCGCUCCA
rnacentral:tRNA from 1 species